UAAUUUUCUUGAUUAUUAUUUUAAAGAAAAACAGAUUCUUAAUUUUGUUCUCAAGAAUACUACGAAAAUUCGUUACUUUUACAUCAAGUUGCAAGCCUUCGAAGAACAAUAGAGAGUUUAAGAAUCUUAAGCAAGAAAUCAAAUUCCAAAUUCCGCCAUUAGAAGUUGCUAUUAUUCUUGAUUUAAUCCGUGUUCUUCGUGUCUCCAAAAUGGCCGUCAAUGGAUGUUCUCGCAUCUGGAACUCGAUUUUCCAAUCGCUUUUGCUGCCACCAGAUCUGUACGCUUUAUACUCUGAAACGAUUCUGCCUUUUCCUCCUCUUCAUCGCUCUCUUCUCGAUCAUCGCGAUCGCCAUCGCCGCAUUGCCUGUAAUCUUCCUGUUAAAGCCUCGACAGCCGAUCUUUUCUCUCGAAUCACUGCGAUUGGAUUGGUACAACAUUAGCCUCAACUCUGGCUCUCCAUUUAUUUCUUCGGUUUUCACCUUGACUCUCAAAUCUCAAAACCCUAACAAAAUCGGCAUUAAGUAUAGUCCGUCGAGGCUUCUCCUGAUCCACGAUGGAAACGCCAUGAUCGGAACCAUACGAGUCCCCGAAGUGUUCCAGCCCGCUCGUAGUGACGAUCGGAGUGUUCGAACUCGUCUUCUGCUGCAUCGAUUCAAUGUCGAUUUGUUCGAUGCGACGCCAGAGUUCGUUGAGAUGAAAAUCAUUGGCGAUAUUGGUGUAGAGCUGUUUGUGCUUCAUAUGGCUGUGAUCAAGAUGAAGGUUGCUCUGAACUGCAAUGUGGAUGUUCAUUACAGAGGGCUUAAUUUCAGAGAACAAUUACUCGGCAAUGGAGCAACCGUUACAAAAGCUUUAGUACGCUCAUCUUCCCCUCCCCUCCCCCUAAAUAUAUAUUAUAUUUAGGCUUAGGUUUGUUGGAGGAUGAAAGUCGUACUCAUUUAGGAAAUGAUCAUGAGUUUAUGAGUUUAUAAUAAAAUAAUACUCUCUUCAUUGGUGGUGUGAGACCUUAUGGGAAGCGAAAACAAAGUUACGAGAGCUUAUGCUGAAAGUGGACAAUAUUAUACCAUUUUAGAGAGUCGUGUUCAUAUGACUCGAUAACUCAACGAAUUUCGACUAAAUCCAAAUUAUAAAAAUUGGGUUGAGUU